rnacentral:rRNA from 1 species
AUUGAACGCUGGCGGCAGGCUUAACACAUGCAAGUCGAGCGAGAGGCGGACGGGUGAGUAAUGUAUGGGAAACUGCCUGAUGGAGGGGGAUAACUACUGGAAACGGUAGCUAAUACCGCAUACCAUCAGAUGUGCCCAGAUGGGAUUAGCUAGUAGGGGGGGUAAUGGCUCACCUAGGCGACGAUCCCUAGCUGGUCUGAGAGGAUGACCAGCAACAGUGUAACGGAGCCAGUGCCCAGACUCCAAGGGGGGGCAGCAGGGGGGAAUAUGGCGCAAUGGGUGCAAGCCUGAUGCAGCCAUGCCGGGUGUGUGAAGAAGGCCUUCGGGUUGUAAAGCACUUUAAGCGAGGAGGGUUUACUCGCAGAAGAAGCACCGGCGAACUCCGUGCCAGCAGCCGCGGUAAUG